rnacentral:rRNA from 1 species
AUGUCUGAAAGAACAGGAGAAUGUUCUUUUGAUGAUAUUAUUACCAGUAUUCGAUACUGGGUUAUUCGUGACAUUAUUAUACCUUCCCUAUUUAUUGCGGGUUGGUUAUUUGUCAGUACGGGUUUAGCUUAUGACGCAGACGAGACACAGGCGCUCUGA